GCACUUAGCAACGAAGCCCUAUCCAUUAGUAUUCCACAUAAGAAAUCCAUUCUAGAAAAAAAUACAAUUAGAUUAGCUCUUCAUAGACAAACUUGGGGUUUGCGAGCCACAGGGGGGACAUGGGGACGCCAAAAAAGGGAUCCUAUCACUAUCAACUAA
rnacentral:rRNA from 1 species